rnacentral:ncRNA from 1 species
AAUCAACUAAGCUACUCCCGUCGUGAGGCGGGGUCAGAAAGCCACGGUUCUUGCCUAGCAAUAGCAAGAAGGCCGGGUUGCCUCC